rnacentral:rRNA from 1 species
AAUCUGCCCUUCACUAUGGGACAAGCCCUGGAAACGGGGUCUAAUACCGGAUAACACUUCCACUCUCCUGAGUGGUGGUUAAAAGCUCCGGCGGUGAAGGAUGAGCCCGCGGCCUAUCAGCUUGUUGGUGAGGUAAUGGCUCACCAAGGCGACGACGGGUAGCCGGCCUGAGAGGGCGACCGGCCACACUGGGACUGAGACACGGCCCAGACUCCUACGGGAGGCAGCAGUGGGGAAUAUUGCACAAUGGGCGAAAGCCUGAUGCAGCGACGCCGCGUGAGGGAUGACGGCCUUCGGGUUGUAAACCUCUUUCAGCAGGGAAGAAGCGAAAGUGACGGUACCUGCAGAAGAAGCGCCGGCUAACUACGUGCCAGCAGCCGCGGUAAUACGUAGGGCGCAAGCGUUGUCCGGAAUUAUUGGGCGUAAAGAGCUCGUAGGCGGCUUGUCACGUCGGGUGUGAAAGCCCGGGGCUUAACCCCGGGUCUGCAUUCGAUACGGGCUAGCUAGAGUGUGGUAGGGGAGAUCGGAAUUCCUGGUGUAGCGGUGAAAUGCGCAGAUAUCAGGAGGAACACCGGUGGCGAAGGCGGAUCUCUGGGCCAUUACUGACGCUGAGGAGCGAAAGCGUGGGGAGCGAACAGGAUUAGAUACCCUGGUAGUCCACGCCGUAAACGGUGGGAACUAGGUGUUGGCGA